UAAAUGGUGGCCACAAAUAAUACAUUUUUUCACAGCAAAUACUUCAUUUACUUAAUAAAAAAACACAUUUCUAUACUAGUGUAUACAUUAAAUGACAUUGGUGUAGUUAUAUUAUGCAGAUAAACAAUUUAGCAGUGCAGAGAGAUGUACUAAACAUGCAAGAACAUUCAAAAUUAAAUUUAAAAAAUGUACAACCCCAAAUUACUAGUUGCAGACAAGGUCAUGACAAACAGUGUCAGCAUGACAUUGGGCAUUGCUAAAUCUAAAUGCUCAUCAUGAAAUUCUCCAGAUACACCUCAUUUUAUUUCUGCUCUCUAUGUUUUAUUCUAUUAUUCUUCACUUAGGAAGCUGGUGCAAUUUUGGCCUUCUUGUAGUCAGACUUAACCUCUACAUUUCCUGAUACAUUUGAGUUUUGGGAGUUCUUUACAGCAUGUAGCAGAAUAACAAUUUCAGAGACUGUUACUCUGAAGCAGAUAAUGAAACCUCAUUACAGUGGCAUCGCCAGAAUUUUUAGGGUCCCAAAUUAGGUUUUGUUCUGUUGCUUUAAUGAAUCCUUUUUGUGUUUUGGUGUGUUUUGCUUUUUUUUUUUUUUUUUUUCCAGCCAAAACAUUUUUCUUUAUAUUUAAAUCUUUCCCUAAUAUGUCUAGAUUUCUGUCCCACUGGAAGGAAAUUGUUUCACACUAUUACUGGAGAUGAAACUGGUUUUUGUCUUUCUGCAGUUUCUAAGAGUCAGCAGGAAAAAUAGGUUUUAAAAUAAUUUUACUGCAGAAUAAAUUGGGCAGAUUCUGUUUAAUCACCUAGUGUAAGUGGAUAAAGUAUGAUAAAUUUUGAUACACAGAAAAGGCAACCGGAUUCUGGUAGCAUUAAUAUUAGAUAAUAUUGUUAUUACACUAACACAAAAUGUUAAAGAUGAUUUCUAACCCAACGUAUUUGCAAAUAUACAAUACCUGGAAAUGCAUAGACAUCUCAGCUUUUAGAAACAAAAUGCAUGUGCAAUUUUAACUUCUCUUGACUUACUUUAUAAAUUCACUUUUAAAUUAAUGACUACCAUUUAUGGGAUAUGUAUGAUAUCAGAUAAUCUUAAAUUGUUUUUUAUGAAAUAAAAGGACAUAUAAGCUGGGUGUAGUGGCUCACAUCUCUAACCCUAACACUUUGGUAGGCCAAGGCAGGAGGAUCACUUGAGCCCAGGAGUUCGAGACCAGCGUGGUUAGCAUAGUGAGGCCUCGUCUUUACAAACAAUGCAAAAUUUAGCUGGGCGUGGUGGUGCACACCUGUGAUCCCAGCUACUCAUGAGGCUGAGGCAGGAUGGAUCACUUAAGUUGGAGAGGUCAAGGCUGCAGUGGCUGUGAUUAUGCCACUGCCCUCCAGCCUGGGUUACGGAGCAAGACCCUGUCUCAAAAAAAGAAGGACAUAUUUUUUAAAAAAUUGUAUUGAUGACUACAUCUUUCAUCAUAGUUAGAGACAGACUCAAGACAUCUGUAGUAUGAUUGUGUUUAUGUCUACCCCAAAUAUGUAACUUUUUAUUAUGUCUUUAUUAAGAAGAUGACCGCUUU
ensembl:lncRNA